rnacentral:rRNA from 1 species
CGUAGGGGGCGAGCGUUGUCCGGAAUUAUUGGGCGUAAAGAGCGUGUAGGCGGUUCGGUAAGUCAGCCGUGAAAACCUGAGGCUCAACCUCGGGCGUGCGGUGGAUACUGCCGGGCUAGAGGACGGUAGAGGCGAGUGGAAUUCCCGGUGUAGCGGUGAAAUGCGCAGAUAUCGGGAGGAACACCAGUAGCGAAGGCGGCUCGCUGGGCCGUUCCUGACGCUGAGACGCGAAAGCUAGGGGAGCGAACAGGAUUAGAUACCCUGGUAGUCCUAGCCGUAAACGAUGGACACUAGGUGUGGGGGGAGUCGAAUCCCUCUGUGCCGCAGUUAACGCGUUAAGUGUCCCGCCUGGGGAGUACGGCCGCAAGGCUA